rnacentral:lncRNA from 1 species
GCUCUUUUUAACAUUCUGCAGAAUCUGAAAGUGAUUAAAAGAGAAAUUACGUCUGAGAAAGGAGCGGCUUCAAGUGUUAUUUAAAAGUGGGCAGGGAUGAACCUUCCAACAGCCAAGCCAGCUUAAGCAGCAACCCAGCUCUGGGCUUGUCAUCCUUGGGCUCAGAUACCAACUUAAAUUCAUCUCUGAGAGUUCUAAACUAAGCCAGAGGGCUCUAAACUAAGCCUGAGAAGACCAACUUGGCAGUCAUGGUGUGGAUGAGCCUGGAAACUUAAUUCUCCACCAUCGGGGGUCUUCAUUUGGUUUCUGCAACACACCUAACACCUCCUCUCGCCAACCCAAUUGGCAAGAAUCAGUUUAAUCUUGUUGGUGACCAAAAUAUACCUUAAAAUGUAAAAUGUAUGCCUUAAUCUGAUUGCCUCUUUCAUAUCAGUCUUCUUUUUUUUUU